AUUAAUAAAAUUGAGAAUGGAAAUGGGGAAUGUGCCAAAGAGACAACAACCCGACCAUAGAAAAAAACAACAGCAGAAGGUCACCAACAGUCUUCAAUGUAGCGAGAAAUUCCCGCACCCGGAGGCGUCCUUCAACUGGCCCUUAAACAAAUAUAUACUAGUUCAGUGAUAAUGAACGCCAUACUAAUUUCCAAAUUGUACACAAGAAACUAAAAUUAAAAUAAUACAAGACUAACAAAGGC
rnacentral:lncRNA from 1 species